CGUAAUCCAGACUGGCUCGGCUGGGUCCCCCGGCUCAAGGUCUCUCAUGAGGCUGCAGUCAAGGUGUUGGCCGCAGUCAUCUGAAGGCUCAACGGGGGGGGGAGGGUUCACUUCCAAGCUACUCACAUGACUCUUGGGAGGAUUUAUUUCCUCACAGGCUGUUGGACUGAGGAAGUCAGCUCCUUGCUGGUUGCUGGCCCAAGGCCUCCCUCAGUUCCUUUCUUCGUGGGCCUCUCCACAAGGAAGCUCACAACAUGGCAGCCAGCUUCCAGCAAAGUGAGCAAGUGAAUCAGCAAGAAAGGGCAAGCAAGAAGGAACCAGAGUCUUUUUAGAAGCUGCCUUCCACUGCCAUCAAUCUGAUGUGGGGAGGGCUGAGUUUGGCAGGGCAGCGACCCUUCUCCAGCAUGACAGGAGAAAAGGAGGAGAGGCCAGGAGCCGCCACUCCUACUCACAUAAUGUUGAUGGGAAGCCGAGGUGGGUGGACUGCUGGCUCUGUUUUCUCCCCACAUUAGGGCAGCUGCCAAGAAUGGGGUGCAGGUGGUAGGGUAGGAGGUUUGAGGGGAAUAGAGAGCUUUAAAAUAGCGGGUGUGGGGAACGGGGGACAGACGUGAGCACAGAAACACGUGGUGCUCUCGCUGAGCCCUGAGCCUGGAGACUUUUUAAGCUCUGAAUAAGCUACACUCCAAGGCUUCAAUCAGUACAUAGCCAUAAGGAGGAGUCAAUACUUGAAUCCGCCCCAAGGCAGAUUUGCCCUUUCUGCGAAAACCACGUUAAGUGCAGCAGAUGCCCACGUGUGAUCCCCGAGUGGAACUGUGCAGCCACCAGGAACCUGAAUGUAGAUGCUCUGGGAAGACACGAGCUUCACUGAGGCUGAGGACCAAACCUCAACAUCCUCCAUGCACGGCACCUGAACUAUGAAACCCUGGAAAGUCGCAAUUUGCAAUCGAAUGUCAGACACACAAACUUCUGGCUGAGGAGCGUAGUUGUGUCAGCUUCCUGCAAUUCUCAAAACCAGCUCUGUGGGGAUUUACAAUGGUUUGCACAAGAGGGGCCUUAGCCACCAAAAAGUAGGAAAGAAAGGGCAUGAAGCUUUGCACAACUGUAGGAGGGCUUUUUGUGUGUAAAUCCAGUACCUAAUUUAACCCCUGCACCUAGGGGAUCACGCAUCAGCCAGGAGCCCCACUUCCUGGCUGCUCCUCCUUAUAUAAGAAGCCAGGACUCCAGGCCCAGCUCUCCCAGGCAACAGCCAUUUCCUGGAUCCCGUUAAGGAGGCAGAAAGAAACCACAGAAAUCUGAAGGACAGGGGAAAACAGCUUUGGGUCUAGGGACUGAUGCCCUGCUGACACGGGCUCAUUCACUCCUGCCCUGACCCAGGAUGGGAGGCAGGAUGGGAGGCAGGAUGGGCGCAACUUGCAGGAGAAUAUUUUCUCUGUGUUCAGAGCACUCUUGGGAAUUUUCCGAGAAAGUGGGGAAAGGGAGCUGAUCCAAAGCAAUGCCAUGCUUGCCCUGUCACUGUGACGUAUUGUGGCCCCCCAAAAAUACGGUUUGGUCCCUGCAAUCACUGCCCCCUUGGUGCCUCCAAACGCUCCCUUGUGGUCACUGCGCGCCCAUGCAGCUGCUGUCUCUCGGUCACCAUUCCCGGUCAUCCCAGCCACACCCGGGGGUGCAGGAGACAAAAAGAUGUGGCAAGGCUGAAGGCCCUUGCACGCGAUCUAAAGGCAGCUCUGGGUCAACUGCAGCAUCUUGCGCUUGGCCGAGAGCGUCUGGGGCUCCAGGCACAGGUGGAGGUGGCGGCCAGGUGGGAGGAGCUGCGGGGAGACCUCUGCCCCUCCUCUCCGGAGCCUAAGUUCCAGAACAGCUGUGCCCGCAAAGCCUAGAAAAGUGCCUGAAGCACAGUGGCUGCUCAUCAAGUAUUUCUGGAAGCAGGAGGGAGGAGAGGCCGAGGUGGGUGAGAGCGGGGAGCGGGGAAAAGGACUUGCCCAGUGCCCCCGGGUCCGCAGCGCGAGAUGCUCCCCAGGGUGGUCAUUCGGCGCUGCUCUAGAUGGGCUCUGCACAACCACGCCCCCAGCCUCCCAGGGCAACCACGCCCCGUUAUUACAGGCGCGGUGCGCCCCGCAGAGAAAGAAAGAAAAAUAAAGAGGGAUAAAGGGCCUUGCCAUGUGGCUACAUUUCUUUUCUUCCUCCCGACUCCCCCAGGAUUUUGCCCAUUUGGACUAAGACAGGCUAAGGAGGCACUGCCCCCUUGUGGCAUCUUCCCGUCACAGCAACUGUUUUAAUUUGGGGCAGCAUUCCGUUUCCCCUCAGACAUUUUUAUUCUGUACAGCUUCGCCGCUCUGUCCGUUUGAAGUGACUUUCUGCUUCCUCUCGGCCACCCCACCUUGGGGUAGGCACAAGAGGGUCACAAUAUCAGCAUACAGUGGCAUUUUUCUGGUUCAGCCCCACUUGUGAGUACUGUGAAUCUCCACAAGUUCCAACCACUUAGUUCAAAAAAAUCCCAGGGAGUCUGGGCCACUCUGUGACAUUCACCAUUUUGUGUUGCUAAGGUGAUGCUUUCUCUGCCCCUUGCUCUCUCUAUCUUCUCCAUACUCUCAGUUCUGCGCUCCAAUAUGGCCCCUGUCCGGGACCCUGAGAAUAAAGUUGUGCUGCUCUGAUCCAGGGAGCUCAGCCUUACUCAAAGCUGCCCUUUCCCUCUGACUGUAGGUAGCUGUCCCAGCAAGCUGGUGCCAUCCGCAGAUGCCCUCCUUCCUUAGAGCCCCCACGCAGUAGCCUGUCAGUAUUAUUCCACGGCCCUCCCCCAAGGCGCUCACAUCAGACUCUCAAAACUAAAACUCCUGCUGUAUUUGCAAAGUGCCUUCUUCUUACACUUUAAACCAACAGUUGUCUCAGAUAUUAUCAUUGACAGAGAAAGUGUUAAUUAGUUAUAAAGGAAAACAGCAGAGAAUGAGGACAUCUGGAUCCCAGCCCUAAUGGUCACCAACCAGCUCUGUGACCCUGGAGUUCUCUGUGCCUGUUAAAAGAGCAAGGGGUGAGUGUAGAAGCCGAGAAGAUAGGACCUGUGGUGUUCAUGAGGAAGACGCAACUCGGGAAGGAGGCAGUGGAGCAAAGGAUGAGAGAGUGGGCAUCAGGGCGUGUUGUCUCAGUCUCACCCACUCCAGGAGCUGAGCCCUGUGGUGUCUCAGGGAUCUUUGAGGUACUUUGGGGUGACCAGAGAAGAGUUCAUGGAGGCCAGGCAUGGCCCUGAGGAGAGGGCACAACAGGUGCAGCGGACGUCCAACACAGACCUGGCGGAAGACAUGAAAGGAUUUGUUCCCAAACACGUGAUGAGCAAAACUGAAGACUUUCGGAAAUGCCUGUGUCAUUGGGGUGUUGGGGGACACCAAGGUCUUGUCAUUGUGAGGGGCCCUGCAGUGGGGGUAAUGAAGCUUAUUGAUGGAUGCCAGAUUGGCUGCUCCUGGGUAUUCCCAGGGGAUAUAAUCGGGGCUCGUGUAGAUCACUGGACCCUGGUGCCUUGGUACCCUGGUGCCGUGCAUGUGGACAUCACGCACUUCUGCCACCCUUGGGAGAGAAGCAUUUUAUUCAUUAGGGAAACCCUGGAAGGCGUGUCGGCAGAGAGAUCUGGUGCAUGUGGUUGAAUACGGACCCAGAGUUCCCCCCGCUGGCUUUUGAGACCCCAGAGAGCAGUGAUGAGGCAACCACGGAAGAGACCCUCACGGGCUGCACUGAGCCUCUGGGCAGGUCUAGAGAUGUGUUCAGAUGUUCAGGAGGGAGAAAAACGCAAAGAGCUUUCCCCAGGCUUGCACUGAUUCCUGAUCACUCCAUGUUCCUAGGAAAAAGACACCUGAAAGUACUCUUUAAGUUCCCGACCUCAGACCCCUAGUUUUCAGGACUGGGUCUUCCUCGAGACUAGGGGGGGCAAACAAUGUCAGGUGUGCCAGGAUCGGGGACUCUCUGAAGAUACAGACAAGUAAACUGGGACCAGUGAUUCCUGAAGCCAGAUCUACCCCUGCCUUUCCAGUCACAUGAUCCAAUAAAUCCCCUUUGUGCUUCAGUUCCAGAGAGCAAGGCUUUUUGUUACACGGUACCAAAUGAGGCCUCUUACAAAACAAGAGCUUGUUAAGACUUCGCAAAAGGUCGGAUAUGGGCUAACCAGAGGGCAACACCUCAGGCAAUGGCAACGUAAAGCGUGGUUGAUUGGGAGGGCUGCAGUGCUAGUAAGACAGAGAAGGUAGGUAGGUGGAGUCCAGUUUUCCUGUGGCAUGUGAACUGAAUUAAAACGGCAGUCUAUACUUCUGAACGCUCAGUGUAGGCUGGUACAAUAGACUUUGGAUCCAUGAGAAGCCUGUUUCACAUUUUCAUAUUGCAGGCUAAUCUCUCUUCCCAUCGCUAACCACCUCUCACCCUUGCACUUCAAGAUAUCAGUACUUAACACUUAAUUUUGAAGUGCAUCGGCGCCUGAAAACAACCCCACACAAUAAUAAAAUUCUCCCCGCGUCCGAAUGGCACGAACUAACGACACACAGAGAAGAGGCCCCUGUGGACUGAGG
rnacentral:lncRNA from 1 species